rnacentral:rRNA from 1 species
GUAACGGCCCACCAAGCCUUUUAUCGGUACGGGUUGUGGGAGCAAGAUCCCGGAGAUGGAUUCUGAGACAUGAAUCCAGGCCCUACGGGGCGCAGCAGGCGCGCAAACUUUACAAUGCGAGCAAUCGUGAUAAGGAAACCCUGAGUGCCUGUCGAUGCAGGCUGUUCAUAUAUCUAAAUCAUAUGUGAAGAAAGGGCAGGGCAAGACCGGUGCCAGCCGCCGCGGUAAUACCGGCUGCUCGAGUGAUGGCCACUAUUACUGGGUUUAAAGCGUCCGUAGCUUGACUGUUAGGUCUCUUGGGAAAUCUUCGCGCUCAACGUGAAGGCGUCUAAGAGAUACCGGCAGUCUUGGAACUGGGAGAGGUAAACCGUACUUCGGGGGUAGGAGUGAAAUCUUGUAAUCCUCGAGGGACGACCUAUGGCGAAGGCAGUUUACCAGAACAGCUUCGACAGUGAGGGACGAAAGCUGGGGGAGCAAACGGGAUUAGAUACCCCGGUAGUCCCAGCCGUAAACAAUGUGCGUUAGGUGUGUCGGUAACCACGUGUUACUGAUGCGCCGAAGAGAAAUCGUGAAACGCACCACCUGGGAAGUACGGUCGCAAGGCUGAAACUUAAAGGAAUUGGCGGGGGAGCACCACAACAGGUGGAGCCUGCGGUUUAAUUG